UAUGUCUUUCUCCUGUCAGGUUGUCUGUUGCCAGUUUUAAUUCACAGGCCCCCGGGCACUGCACUUGAGAGGAUAGAGGAGAAGACUUUCCUUCCCUGCAACCACCUAUAUAUUGAGAAGUCAGAUGGCGGAAGCAAGAAGAGAGAUCAGAAGAUGGGCUGAUUUUGUCCUUGUUGGAUCUGCCGGCUCUGAUCUUGGAGGGGUGUUCUGCCUGGAGUCUCGUGGGCCUGCCGGUUUCUCCCUCUGCAUCCGCUCACCGUGCCCUUCACUAGCAGAAGCCUGGUGUGGAUCCACUGGCGAUCAGCUGAGGCAGAAGCGCUCACUCUCAGACGGGCAUGCAGCU
rnacentral:lncRNA from 1 species